UGCGUAGGCGGUUUGGAAAGUCAGAUGUGAAAGCCUACAGCUUAACUGUAGAACUGCAUUUGAAACUUCCAGACUAGAAUACUGAAGGGGCAGAUGGAAUUAGUGGUGUAGGGGUAAAAUCCGUAGAUAUCACUAGGAAUACCGAAAGCGAAAGCGAUCUGCUGGGAAGUUAUUGACGCUGAGGCACGAAAGCGUGGGGAGCAAACAGGAUUAGAUACCCUGGUAGUCC
rnacentral:rRNA from 1 species